GAUGAACGCUGGCGGCGUGCCUAAUACAUGCAAGUCGAGCGAACAGACGAGGAGCUUGCUCCUCUGACGUUAGCGGCGGACGGGUGAGUAACACGUGGAUAACCUACCUAUAAGACUGGGAUAACUUCGGGAAACCGGAGCUAAUACCGGAUAACAUGUUGAACCGCAUGGUUCAACAGUGAAAGACGGUCUUGCUGUCACUUAUAGAUGGAUCCGCGCCGCAUUAGCUAGUUGGUAAGGUAACGGCUUACCAAGGCAACGAUGCGUAGCCGGCCUGAGAGGGUGAUCGGCCACACUGGAACUGAGACACGGUCCAGACUCCUACGGGAGGCAGCAGUAGGGAAUCUUCCGCAAUGGGCGAAAGCCUGACGGAGCAACGCCGCGUGAGUGAAGAAGGUCUUCGGAUCGUAAAACUCUGUUAUUAGGGAAGAACAAAUGUGUAAGUAACUAUGCACGUCUUGACGGUACCUAAUCAGAAAGCCACGGCUAACUACGUG
rnacentral:rRNA from 1 species